rnacentral:rRNA from 1 species
GACGAACCGUGCGAACGUUGUUCGGAAUCACUGGGCUUAAAGGGCGCGUAGGCGGGCUGCCAAGUCCGGGGUGAAAUCUUUCGGCUCAACCGGAAAAGUGCCUCGGAUACUGGCGGUCUUGAGGGAGGUAGGGGUAUGCGGAACUUCCGGUGGAGCGGUGAAAUGCGUAGAUAUCGGAAGGAACGCCGAUGGCGAAAGCAGCGUACUGGACCUUCUCUGACGCUGAGGCGCGAAAGCUAGGGGAGCGAACGGG